AAAAAAAAAAAAAAGAAGAAGAAAGAAAGAAAAAGAAAAAAAAAGAUAAUAUGUCCACGGCCUAAUCCCUGAAAACUGUGAAUGUUAUCUUGUUUGAGGAAAGGAUCUUUGCCGAUGUAAUUCAUUACAUGAAUUCAUUCCUUAACUUCAGUUAAGGGUCAUGAAAUGAGUUCAUCCUGGAUUAGCUAGGUGGGGUAAAUCCAACGACAUGUGUCCUUAUGAGAGAUAGAAGAGGAAAAGACACAGACUCAUGAAGAGGAGGAGGGUACAUGACCACAAAGGCAGAGAUUGGAGUGAUGCGGCUAAGGAAGCCAAGGAACAGAAGCCGCCAGAAGCUGGAAGAGGCAAGGAAGGGUUCUGCCCACAAUCUCCAGAGGGAGUGCAGCCCUGCUGACACCUAGGUUUUUGUUUGUUGUUGCUGUUGUUGUUGUUUACCACUGUGCUAUUGAAAACGUAGAUUUUGGACUUCUGGC
rnacentral:lncRNA from 10 species